CCUACGGGAGGCUGCAGUGGGGAAUAUUGCACAAUGGGCGCAAGCCUGAUGCAGCCAUGCCGCGUGUGUGAAGAAGGCCUUCGGGUUGUAAAGCACUUUCAGCGGGGAGGAAGGCGGUGAGGUUAAUAACCUCAUCGAUUGACGUUACCCGCAGAAGGAGCACCGGCUAACUCCGUGCCAGCAGCCGCGGUAAUACGGAGGGUGCAAGCGUUAAUCGGAAUUACUGGGCGUAAAGCGCACGCAGGCGGUCUGUCAAGUCGGAUGUGAAAUCCCCGGGCUCAACCUGGGAACUGCAUUCGAAACCGGCAGGCUAGAGUCUUGUAGAGGGGGGUAGAAUUCCAGGUGUAGCGGUGAAAUGCGUAGAGAUCUGGAGGAAUACCGGUGGCGAAGGCGGCCCCCUGGACAAAGACUGACGCUCAGGUGCGAAAGCGUGGGGAGCGAACAGGAUUAGAUACCCGAGUAGUC
rnacentral:rRNA from 1 species